rnacentral:rRNA from 1 species
GCCCUAGUAACGGCGAGUGAAGCGGCAACAGCUCAAAUUUGAAAUCUGGCGCAAGCCCGAGUUGUAAUUUGUAGAGGAUGCUUCUAGGUAGCGACCGGUUUAAGUUCCUUGGAACAGGACGUCAUAGAGGGUGAGAAUCCCGUAUGUGACCGGCCCGCACCUUCUACGUAGCUCCUUCGACGAGUCGAGUUGUUUGGGAAUGCAGCUCUAAAUGGGAGGUAAAUUUCUUCUAAAGCUAAAUACCGGCCAGAGACCGAUAGCGCACAAGUAGAGUGAUCGAAAGAUGAAAAGCACUUUGGAAAGAGAGUUAAAAAGCACGUGAAAUUGUUGAAAGGGAAGCGCUUACAACCAGACUUCUGGGCGGUGUUCCGCCGGUCUUUUGACCGGUCUACUCGCCGUCCCGAGGCCAACAUCAUCUGGGACCGCUGGAUAAGACCUUAGGAAUGUAGCUUCCCUCGGGAAGUGUUAUAGCCUCUGGUGAUGCAGCGCGUCUCGGGUGAGGUCCGCGCUUCGGCAAGGAUGUUGGCGUAAUGGUUGUCAGCGGCCCGUCUUGAAACACGGACCAAGGAGUCUAACAUCUAUGCGAGUGUUCGGGUGUCAAACCCCUACGCGUAAUGAAAGUGAACGGAGGUGGGAAGGGUAACCUGCACCAUCGACCGAUCCUGAUGUCCUCGGAUGGAUUUGAGUAAGAGCAUAGCUGUUGGGACCCGAAAGAUGGUGAACUAUGCCUGAAUAGGGUGAAGCCAGAGGAAACUCUGGUGGAGGCUCGCAGCGGUUCUGACGUGCAAAUCGAUCGUCAAAUUUGGGUAUAGGGGCGAAA